AUACAAUUGACCAAAGAAAACCUUUUCCCAUAUAAGGGCUAAUAAAAGAGGAGGCUGUUAUAAGGCAUUUUCUUAAGUUUUUAUAUUAAACAAUUGUUACCAAAAUGCAGGUGAUAUUAAAGAAAAAAAUUACCUACCUGCCAUAGCUUGGUAAAAUUUAUAAACUUCUUAUAUUUAAGAAAUAAAUCUUUUAAGUUCCCACAUAGAAAAUGACAAUGACAACAACAAAAUAGAUUAAAGGAAAAGAAAUGUGAUUAACCACAGCCCAUUUAUUUGUGAUACUGGAAAGGAGAAGAAGUAGGACAUUAUCUAUAGUCUCCUGAGAGAAGAUUUUUAAGAAUUCUGGCUAGUGAGCUCAGUGCAAUGGCUCAUGCCUAUAAUCCCAGCACUCUGGGAGGUCAAGGUGGGAGAAAUGCUUGAGCCUAGGAAUUCGAGAUCAGCCUGGGCAACAAAGUGAGACCCUGUUGCUACAAAAAGUUAAAAAAUUAGCUGAGCAUGGUGGUGCAUGCUUGUGGUCCCAGCUACAUGGGAGGCUGAGGCAGGA
rnacentral:lncRNA from 10 species